rnacentral:rRNA from 1 species
UACGAAGGGGGCUAGCGUUGCUCGGAAUCACUGGGCGUAAAGGGUGCGUAGGCGGGUCUUUAAGUCCGGGGUGAAAUCCUGGAGCUCAACUCCAGAACUGCCUUUGAUACUGAAGAUCUUGAGUUCGGGAGAGGUGAGUGGAACUGCGAGUGUAGAGGUGAAAUUCGUAGAUAUUCGCAAGAACGCCAGUGGCGAAGGCGGCUCACUGGCCCGAUACUGACGCUGAGGCGCGAAAGCCAGGGGAGCGAACGGG